UGCUUAACAAAAAUGAUUAUGUUAAUUCAAAGGCAAAAAGUGAGAAAUAGUGCCAUCCUUAGCCACGUCAUUCCCACGCUCUAACGCUGUUUUCCUAAACAGGAUGUGAUUCCACUGAGGCGUGUUUUACAGAAGUGAAAACCGAUUAUUUUUUCAUCGGACAAGAAGAGAGUGGAAAGACCUGGUAGAACGUCUAAUACUGAUAAUUAAUAACACUAGAAACUAAAUCUGUAACUUUAAUAUGGAAGACUUGAAAGCAGGAUUUAAGAAAAUUUUCUCACUACUGGACGGGAAAACCAGUUAUUUUGUGACCAUUAUUGGCCUGUUUGUUUACCAUGUUGUGUUUGAUAAGCAGUUGACUUGCUUGACUAAACCUGGUGUUAACCCAAAGGAUUUGCCGACCCAAUAUGAGUGUAAUGUCUACAUUGCAGUGCCACCUUUUAUAUUGUUUUUCCUGAUUCUCUGGCUGGAUGGAGAGUUUCAACAAGUUUGGACAAUUGUCUACAGAUGUGGAACUGAUUUCUGGCAAAGACUUUUGUCAGCCCUCUUCAAGGCAACUGCAAUCGGGUUACUAUGGGUUUUAUCAGUGUUGUUGGAUGGAGACUGGUAUGCGUGUCAAAACAGAGAAGAACUCCUUGGGUUAAACACAAACGGCACUUACACAGAUCAACUUAAACGCAAGUCAGUGGUUAUUGGCUUAGAGGCGACCCUGGGCCUGGUGUUUUUAGUUGCUAUUUUUAAUGCAGUACCUUACUGGUGUUACCCCUGUCGCUCUCUGUGAGAGAACAGAAGUGAGCAGGACUGAAGAUAAAAAGUGCUGCUCGAAUUGUUGCGACACUUUAUGCAGGUCAUAUCACUGGGUACUAUUUGAGGAGAAUGUUCUGAUUGAGAUGGAGAAUAUUAUCCAAACAGAUGUAAAGACAACAGCUAGGGAUUAUGUAGUUC